UACGUAGGGUGCAAGCGUUGUCCGGAAUCAUUGGGCGUAAAGCGCGUGUAGGCGGUUUGGUAAGUCGGAUGUGAAAUCCCGAGGCUCAACCUCGUGACUGCAUCCGAUACUGCCCGACUAGAGGUAGGUAGGGGAGAUCGGAAUUCCUGGUGUAGCGGUGAAAUGCGCAGAUAUCAGGAGGAACACCGGUGGCGAAGGCGGAUCUCUGGGCCAUUACUGACGCUGAGGAGCGAAAGCGUGGGGAGCGAACAGG
rnacentral:rRNA from 1 species